CCUGCAUCAUCUUGUGAUUCUGUAUCUCAGUUGUUUCCUUGCAUCUGGUUUGGAAUUUAAGUUUGCCUUGUGCCUCACCUAUCAUUGCAAAACUUCUGAUAAAAGCUCAUAGUGUUGGCAAGGAAAAAUGAUGAGAACGUUUUUCUUGAACUCUUCCUUUUCACUACUGCAGUGAUCUGAGUCCUGCUCCUCCUAUUCCUCAGCCCAGCUGAUCUCCUGGCAAAGAACGCUAACUUCUGCCUCAAAUUAUUCAUUGCUAAUUGGUAAUGCAAAAGCUAGAGGAAAGAACUAUGGAUUUACAUCAACAGUGGAAAGAGCUGUGUGUAAGUUAAUGGGUGCGACUGCAGGCUUGCAAUUGCCAUCUUGUGGCCCUCCUGAUGGUGGUGUGAUGGAUGAGCAUUUGAGCUUCACAAGAUGCUUCCAGCAAGGUGGAGAGAAGUGACCUGCAGGAGGAGCCCAAACGGAUGUGUCGAGUUUUGCUGGGAUUCCUAGCUGCUCUCUGGGCUCUGAAACGUAAGUGAGGAGGUGCAGCCACGUGUGUCAGCUCCCUGCUGAGCUCAGCACUGAGGUCCUGGUUUUGGGUGAGUUCUGCUGUGGAA